CAAUGAUGAAUUUACACCUUUGUCCCUGACUCUGCCUGGCCAUAUUGUCACCGGGCUAUCCUUCCCAAAGGAGACCUCUGAAUUGAGAGCGAGUGCCAAGAAGUGAAACCAAGAAGUCUGGGGCCAAGAAGUCAUCCCAGAGUACCAACAGGGACUUCCCUGGUGGCCCAGUGGUUAAGAAUUCACCUUCCAAUACAGGGGACCUGGGUUCAAUCCCUGGUCCGGGAAGAUCACACGUGCCACUAAGCCCACAUAUCACAACUACUGAGCCUGUGAGCUUCAGCUAGAGAAAGGUGCCCAUGCCACAAUGAAGAGACCACAGUGAAAGAGCCUGUAUGCCACCAUGAAGAUGCUGUGUGCUGCAACUCAGAUCCAACACAGCAGGUGCGUAAAUACAUAGGUUUUUUAAAAAGAGCGCCAAGACUGGCUGAUCUUGGGCCCAGUUCACAUGCCUAGUGAGCCAGGUUCUUAGGUGACAUAAAAUGAGCUCUGGGCUCAGAGCCUGAAGAGCAGGUUUUCAUUCCGGCUCUGUCUGAUCACCUUGUACGGCUA
rnacentral:lncRNA from 1 species